AUGGAUACAAGCCGCCACACCUCCUUGGCCUCCUCCGGUUCUACAAGACGCGACACACACUCCAAGUCCCCCAAAAAAAUAGAGCAAAAACUACUUGCGUUGGGAAGCAGCAGCGCGAGUGAAGUGCCAACUUCAGAUCAAGAUGGACAAAUCUCAAUGUCGAAAAAUAUUUCUGCCAUUGAGCUUGCAGAAAUCGGUAUCAAGCUGAUGGCCAGCAAAACAACAAAGCUUGUGGACAUGGGCAUGGAGAAAAGGCCACUCUCCGGUAACAUCUUCCUGGCGCCGCUGCUGCUAGAUGACAUCAGGUCAUGCUGGCUCGUCAACAUGGCGGCUUUGGAGGUAUGUCUAGCCGCAGGUGUUAGGGACGAUGAAAAACCAGUCGUCUGCUCUUACCUGGCCCUCCUUGCAAUGCUCAUGGAUCGCGAGGAGGACGUGCACAAGCUGCGAUCCAAACGUCUUGUGCAAGGGGAACUCACCAACAAGGAGACACUCGACUUCUUUAAGACCCUUAUCAAGUACAUCAGCGGUGGCUCCCUCUACAUUCAUAUCUUGGAAGAGAUCGAGGACUACAAGCUCAAGAGGUGGAUCUGGAUCAAGAUAUACGAGUUGGUGUACAAAUACAAGAAAGCCAUCGUCACAGUGCUCUCUCUCAUUGGUGUCCUUGCGGGUAUCUUCAAGGCGCUCCUCUCUGUCAAGCAUGGCUAG
rnacentral:rRNA from 1 species